CAAUCGUAAGAUCAAAUUUAUUACAAAAAACCACUGCCAACUAUCCUUAGCCGCUUGUAUUUCAGUAGCGCAAUUCUCAAUCAGAGACGGACUUUCGUGAUUGAAAUGGCUGACGAGAGCGGAAUAAAGUAUGAAUUUCAUAAUAAAGUCACUCAUAAAAAUAGGAACGAUUAUUUUAAUGCAGUAGGCUCUUGUUUUACAUUUCGUUUACUUCAUUUAUACAUAUUAAUGUUUGAGUAUAAUAUU
rnacentral:misc_RNA from 1 species